rnacentral:lncRNA from 1 species
AACAUCAUCAUCCCAACGGCUAUAAUUUUAAUCCAAGGGCUGGGCUUUAAGGACCGUUGGAUCAAAUUUAAUUUUUUUAGAAUUUGUUAUUUUAAAAUACAUUGAAUCCAACGGUUGAGAUUGAAUAUAAUCAAAUCUAAUGGUAAAAAAAAGAGAUCUAACGGCCCAAAUUUAAAUCCAACGGCUAAAAUAAUUAAAAAAAAUUAUUUAACUCAAAAUUCACCCAAAAACUCUAUAAAUACCUAUGUAUUUGUUCAAACAUCCACACAAAACUCAAUUUUCUCCUACAAUUCUUCCAAUGUAUCUUUCUACCAUUUCUUUCCAUUUCCAAAUUGUUCAACAUGGCAAGAGAGCAUAUUAGAGGUCGUAAUUGGACAUGUGAGGAAAAUGUUGCUUUAUGCUUGACAUGAGUUUCUGUUAGCGAAGAUGGUGUAGUUGGCACA